AACGAACGCUGGCGGCAUGCCUAAUACAUGCAAGUCGAACGAGAUCUUCGGAUCUAGUGGCGCACGGGUGCGUAACGCGUGGGAAUCUGCCCUUGGGUUCGGAAUAACUUCUGGAAACGGAAGCUAAUACCGGAUGAUGACGUAAGUCCAAAGAUUUAUCGCCCAAGGAUGAGCCCGCGUAGGAUUAGCUAGUUGGUGGGGUAAAGGCCCACCAAGGCGACGAUCCUUAGCUGGUCUGAGAGGAUGAUCAGCCACACUGGGACUGAGACACGGCCCAGACUCCUACGGGAGGCAGCAGUAGGGAAUAUUGGACAAUGGGGGAAACCCUGAUCCAGCAAUGCCGCGUGAGUGAUGAAGGCCUUAGGGUUGUAAAGCUCUUUUAACCGGGAUGAUAAUGACAGUACCGGGAGAAUAAGCUCCGGCUAACUCCGUG
rnacentral:rRNA from 1 species